GCCAGCACCGGCGCAACGCCCAGUUUCAGCAGCGCGAAAAAGGUAAUGUAAAGUUCAGCGACGUUACCCAGUUGUACCAGCGCGGUUUCACCAGGUUUAAUGCCCUGACGGCGCAAACUAGCCUGGGGAGUACGGCCGCAAGGUUAAAACUCAAAUGAAUUGACGGGGGCCCGCACAAGCGGUGGAGCAUGUGGUUUAAUUCGAUGCAACGCGAAGAACCUUACCUGGUCUUGACAUCCACGGAAGUUUUCAGAGAUGAGAAUGUGCCUUCGGGAACCGUGAGACAGGUGCUGCAUGGCUGUCGUCAGCUCGUGUUGUGAAAUGUUGGGUUAAGUCCCGCAACGAGCGCAACCCUUAUCCUUUGUUGCCAGCGGUCCGGCCGGGAACUCAAAGGAGACUGCCAGUGAUAAACUGGAGGAAGGUGGGGAUGACGUCAAGUCAUCAUGGCCCUUACGACCAGGGCUACACACGUGCUACAAUGGCGCAUACAAAGAGAAGCUACCUCGCGAGAGCAAGCGGACCUCAUAAAGUGCGUCGUAGUCCGGAUUGGAGUCUGCAACUCGACUCCAUGAAGUCGGAAUCGCUAGUAAUCGUGGAUCAGAAUGCCACGGUGAAUACGUUCCCGGGCCUUGUACACACCGCCCGUCACACCAUGGGAGUGGGUUGCAAAAGAAGUAGGUAGCUUAACCUUCGGGAGGGCGCUUACCACUUUGUGAUUCAUGACUGGGGUGAAGUCGUAACAAGGUAACCGUAGGGGAACCUGCGGUUG
rnacentral:rRNA from 1 species